AUUGAACGCUGGCGGCAUGCCUUACACAUGCAAGUCGAACGGUAACAGGUCUUCGGAUGCUGACGAGUGGCGAACGGGUGAGUAAUACAUCGGAACGUGCCCAGUAGUGGGGGAUAACUACUCGAAAGAGUGGCAAUACCGCAUGAGAUCUACGGAUGAAAGCAGGGGAUCGCAAGACCUUGUGCUACUAGAGCGGACGAUGGCAGAGUAGGUAGUUGGUGGGAUAAAAGCUUACCAAGCCGACGAUCUGUAGCUGGUCUGAGAGGACGAUCAGCCACACUGGGACUGAGACACGGCCCAGACUCCUACGGGAGGCAGCAGUGGGGAAUUUUGGACAAUGGGCGCAAGCCUGAUCCAGCAAUGCCGCGUGCAGGAUGAAGGCCUUCGGGUUGUAAACUGCUUUUGUACGGAACGAAAAGCCCUGGGUUAAUACCCUGGGGUCAUGACGGUACCGUAAGAAUAAGCACCGGCUAACUACGUGCCAGCCGCCGCGGUAACAC
rnacentral:rRNA from 1 species